GAGUGGACUGGGAUAGAGCACACAAAUAGCUGAAGGCAAAAAAACAUCUUAAAAAGAGCUUUGCUGGCACUUUGAUGUAAACAGAGAAGGAAUCCUCACAAUAUUCCUUGGUUGAGUGGCACUAAAGCAACACCGGAAGAAACCAGUUACGCUUUCCAGAGAUUGCUGCAUGUGGCACAUCACAGCCAGGAUGGCUGCUUAUCUCCAAGAGGCAACUGUUUCCAUCGGCCUCACAUGGUAUCUGAAAGUGGAAGCAGUCAUUACAGGAAUGCACUUGCCCUGGAAGAACCCCAAAACUGCAACCCAGGGACCAGAGAGUGCUAACCAGGGAGCUGAGAAAGAACAGGGUUCAUCCCAUGCAUGCCAGUGCUCAUAAGUUCAAAAUGGCCACUAAUGUGCCGGUUCAACAAGAACACUUUGUAGGGAGGCCCAUGCACUUGGAUAUUGUGGGCGAGCAGCUGCUCAUAAAUCUCCAAUAACAAAGAAAACUGCAGCCCAGCAGUUAUGGUGGUGUAAAGUGAACAAAAAUUGGACUGUGGAACAACGGUGGCGAGCAUUAUCGAGUGACGAAUCAUGGUUUACACUUUUCAGAUCAGAUGGACGUGUUUAAGUUUGCUGAUUGCUAGGAGAAUGUCUGAUGCCAGAGUGUACAGUACUUACAGUAAAGCAUGGAGGUGGUGGCAUUAUGCUGUAAGGCUGUUUCAUCUGGUUUGGCAUGGGUUCACUAGUUGUAAUGCCUGGUCACAUUAACUCUGAUAAGAAUAGAGAUGUUCUCAAUAAUUCAGUGCUCCCUACAUUGUGGCAGUUGUACUGAAACAAGAAAUGUUUUUAUCAGGAAAGCAAUGCCAUGCCAUGUUUCCAGGGUGACGCUGGACUGGUAUAUAUUCAGUAACCUGGAUGGACUUGCCAGCUCAGAGUCCAGAUCUUAACCCCACUAAGAACCUUUCGGAUGAAUUGGAGUGACAAGUGAUUGCUAAGCCAAAUCAACCUUCUUCAGUGUCACAGUUGGUCACUGUACUUAAAGCAGAAUGGCAAAAUAUAUCACCUGCUGUUGUCCAGAAACUUGUGGACAGU